GAUGAACGCUGGCGGCGCGCCUAAUACAUGCAAGUCGAGCGAACGGACGAGAAGCUUGCUUCUCUGAUGUUAGCGGCGGACGGGUGAGUAACACGUGGAUAACCUACCUAUAAGACUGGGAUAACUUCGGGAAACCGGAGCUAAUACCGGAUAAUAUUUUGAACCGCAUGGUUCAAAAGUGAAAGACGGUCUUGCUGUCACUUAUAGAUGGAUCCGCGUUGCAUUAGCUAGUUGGUAAGGUAACGGCUUACCAAGGCAACGAUGCAUAGCCGACCUGAGAGGGUGAUCGGCCACACUGGAACUGAGACACGGUCCAGACUCCUACGGGAGGCAGCAGUAGGGAAUCUUCCGCAAUGGGCGAAAGCCUGACGGAGCAACGCCGCGUGAGUGAUGAAGGUCUUCGGAUCGUAAAACUCUGUUAUUAGGGAAGAACAUAUGUGUAAGUAACUGUGCACAUCUUGACGGUACCUAAUCAGAAAGCCACGGCUAACUACGUG
rnacentral:rRNA from 1 species